rnacentral:rRNA from 1 species
GACGUAGGGCGCGAGCGUUGUCCGGAUUUAUUGGGCGUAAAGAGCUCGUAGGCGGUGUGUCGCGUCGGCCGUGAAAACCUGCAGCUUAACUGUGGGCUUGCGGUCGAUACGGGCAUCACUGGAGUUCGGCAGGGGAGACUGGAAUUCCUGGUGUAGCGGUGAAAUGCGCAGAUAUCAGGAGGAACACCGGUGGCGAAGGCGGGUCUCUGGGGCCGAUACUGACGCUGGAGGGAGCGAAAAGCGUGGGGGAGCGAACAGG